GCCGCCAUUUUGUCCAGUGAGGAAAAGCGGAGCUGGGGUCUCGCUGAGGGGUCGAGUCGGCUGAGUUUAGCGCGGGCUCCCUUCGCGCGCCCUCCCUCUGAGCAUCGCAAUGCAUCGCGACUCUUGUCCGCUGGACUGCAAGGUUUAUGUGGGUAACCUUGGAAACAAUGGCAACAAAACGGAAUUAGAGCGAGCUUUUGGCUACUAUGGACCACUGCGCAGUGUGUGGGUGGCGAGAAAUCCUCCCGGUUUUGCCUUUGUGGAAUUCGAAGAUCCACGAGAUGCAGCUGAUGCAGUAAGAGAACUAGAUGGAAGAACGCUGUGUGGGUGCCGAGUCCGAGUGGAGCUCUCCAAUGGGGAGAAGCGGAGUCGGAACCGUGGCCCCCCUCCCUCGUGGGGCCGGCGUCCCCGGGACGACUAUCGCAGGAGGAGUCCUCCCCCUCGGCGCAGAGUCACCAUCAUGUCUCUUCUCACCACCCUCUGAGUCUGCAUUAGCCAGCCAACUAGCCCUUUCAGCGUCAUGUGACCAGCGCGCCCCAUGCAGCUUGGCUGGUGUCGUUUCACAUGACCCAGGCAUGGCCAGUCGUCAGGUUGCACCGCCCUUUGGUUCCCGAGCAUGCUGUUUUCUCUCAGCCUUCUCUCCAACCUUAACCAAAUCGGCAGCAGCCACCUCGACCGCCCACACAUUCCCGGCCAAUCAGCUCAGCUGUUUAUUUACCAAAUGUCUUCACAACAACUACAGCAGCAGCCUUCGGCUAACAAAAAAGCAGGAAAAAUCCACAACACCCCCUCCGCCAACCAACUAAAUACAACGCAACAUCUGGCAAAACCUUUUCAGCAAAUUCUUCUUGGCAGUCAGUCCGGCAGCCUCACCUCACCAUUUCUAGCUUGUUGAAACCAAAGACUUGUAAGUUUUUCCUGCUUAUACAGUUUACUGCUGGUUAAAAUAAGGAGUAAGCGGCUUAUAAGUAAUUACUUUUCUCAAUCAAAGGCUGGCUGUGCAUAAUUGAGUGGUAACGUACAUAUGUUGCUUGAGAAAACUUUUAAGGGUGAUACGGAAGCUCUUACACUGUGAAUAACGUAAAAACCAGGAUAUUUGCAUGUGAGAUGCCAAACUAAAUUUUUAAUAAAGCUCUAACAAAUGUAGCUUUUCCUUGCCAGAAAAAUCCUAUCACCUUUAAAUGGUUUUACUAACAGUUUUCAAAACUUAAAACAAUUACUUUUUGGGAUGAACUGGGCCGAGCUAAGGUUAUAUUUUUAAUUUUUUAAUUUUUUUAUAAGAAAGUAGUCUAAACACACUCGAUGGCAUUAAAAAUGACAAUCACAAAUAUGCAGUUCUAAUGUAGCACUUAAUGGCAUUAUCAAAUUGACACUGAGCGCAUUUUCACUUUUUUUUCCCACUUGAUAUCUCUUAUGCCUUGUUACGGACCUUUUUGGCUUGCAUGGGUUCCAAAACAUUUGCUCUGUGCUAUUUUUUUUUUUUAUUUUUUUUUUUUUUUUUUUUUUUUUUUUUUUUUGGAACCACUUGUGGGACUUUGGUGUGGUGUUCUGGGCAGUGUAUUUAGUUGAAAUGGAAAGUGUUGCAUUGGACAACUCUGCUCUGACGCAUUCUUAGUUAAAGUGAAUUCGUGGUUGGAAACGUGCUGUUCACACUGAGCUUGGUUUUACUGCCUAAUCUUUCCAUGCCUUUUACUGGAUGAUGGAUGCCAGUUAUUCUUGGCACGUUCCCUGGGCCCAACAGUGAGUUUGACAAGUUGGGAAAUGCCUCACCCCGUUAAUGCUCAAAGAAUGGAUAAAGUGCCUCACGUCUGGUUUUCUGGUUUUAGAUCACCACGAAGGAGAAGCUUCUCCCGGAGCCGCAGCAGGUCCCUCUCCAGAGACAGAAGAAGAGAGAGAUCACUCUCACGGGAGAGGAACCACAAGCCUUCUCGCUCCUUUUCCAGGUCUCGCAGUCGCUCCAGGUCAAAUGAGAGGAAAUAGGACUGUGGGAAGGAGCUGUGUACAGGAAGUCACCAGGUCCCAGGCCAGGAGUAUGUACAGAACAUUGUUUUGUUUUGAAACUUCAUAAAGCUUGGUGCAUUUUUAAAAUGUUUUAGCUGUUGAACUUGCUUUGUUCCUUGUAUCUUGUAACAGGUGGCAAAUGUAAAGAUGUGAAUCUGUAUAUGGUUCUGAGCAGAUCCUAUGAUUUUUAUUAUUAAUGGUUUUCCAAUGUACCAUCAGACAUGGUUUGUGUGUGUGUGGAAUGGUAAAUGGUCUGUGUCCGUAGCUGGGGGGGUUUGCUGGGGCUCAGCUCUCAAGGAAGUGUGCUGGGAUGGUGUAUUCCUUGUGGAAUUGUGGCCCGGAGCAGAGCAGGAUGUGGGUGCUCCAAAGCCCAGUUGCAGGGAAGAGUCAGAGCAGCGAGCCAGUGGCACGGGGAGGGAAGGGCUGGGCUGCAGCUUCAUCCAGCUCCAGUUCUGACUGCAUUACUUGGAACUGAGCUGCUUUAUAUUCCAUGAAUUACAAAUUUUUAGCUGUAGGAUCAGUUAAUUUUGUACUUGGUGUGAGUAGAGUCCUUAAUUAGCGAUUGUUGAUUGACCAUCUAUUCCAGAACCUCUGAAUAGACCAAAUCCACAAGCAGAACUGACACCUGGAGUGGAUGUGUUAAGUGUCUAAUGGUACAUUGUAAACUUUAGGAGUUAAACAUUUCUUUACUGUAAAAGACUUUUCAUGUCACUUGUAAAAUGUCUUUUGUGAGAUCCUUGGGAUUAAAGUUUUGGUUACAACUCGU